UCGGGAAUUUUGCUCAAUGGGCGCAAGCCUGAAGCAGCAACGCCGCGUGAGGGAUGAAGGCCUUCGGGUUGUAAACCUCUUUUCUCAGGGACGAUGAUGACGGUACCCGAGGAAUAAGCACCGGCUAACUCCGUGCCAGCAGCCGCGGUAAUACGGAGGGUGCAAGCGUUAAUCGGAAUUACUGGGCGUAAAGCGCACGUAGGCGGCUUUCUAAGUCAGGGGUGAAAUCCUGGAGCUCAACUCCAGAACUGCCUUUGAUACUGGAAAGCUUGAGUUCGGGAGAGGUGAGUGGAACUGCGAGUGUAGAGGUGAAAUUCGUAGAUAUUCGCAAGAACACCAGUGGCGAAGGCGGCUCACUGGCCCGAUACUGACGCUGAGGUGCGAAAGCGUGGGGAGCAAACA
rnacentral:rRNA from 1 species